CAUUGACUGUGCAAAGGUAGCAUAAUCAGUUGGCUUUUAAUUGAAGUCUGGUAUGAAUGAAAAUAUGGGGGAUAACUGUCUUAGCAUAUUCAUUCGAAUUUAUUUAGUAAGUGCAAAUACUUACAAACUUCAAAAAGACGAGAAGACCCUAGAAACUUGAAGUAGUUUUUGUUGGGGCGACAGAAUUACAUUUAACUAAUUUUAAGAAACAUGACAUUUAAUUGAAAGAAUAAGUUACUCUAG
rnacentral:rRNA from 1 species